UACAAGUGUGACAUCAGCGGUCAUGGAGAGUCUCCAUCCAGCUGGAUCACUGUCACAGAGAGACACACCUCACGCCUCCUUCCUGUGUUACUGUCUGUUGCAUCAGUCUGUGUUGUGGCACUUCUGCUGUUACUGGUUCUGCUAAUGAGACAACGUGUUCGCAGGAAACCCGAAGAGAGAGAAUCAGUAGUGAAAGCAGAAGAAGUCAGUUAUGGAGAAAUCACCAUUAAAGACAAGCCAAAACAAUCUAAAGACAGAGACUGUAAAACAGAGCCAGACGUCGUCUACGCUUCAGUGAAGUAGUCCUCCAGUCCAACCGCUGAUGUCCAGCUUCAACUCUCUAACUGCUCCCCAGCACCUCAGACCAGAGGCCAGUCACAUG